rnacentral:rRNA from 1 species
AGCGAGCGCUGGCGGCAGGCCUAACACAUGCAAGUCGAACGAACCCUUCGGGGUUAGUGGCGGACGGGUGAGUAACACGUGGGAACGUGCCCUUAGGUUCGGAAUAACUCAGGGAAACUCGUGCUAAUACCGAAUGUGCCCUUCGGGGGAAAGAUUUAUCGCCUUUAGAGCGGCCCGCGUCUGAUUAGCUAGUUGGUGAGGUAAUGGCUCACCAAGGCUACGAUCAGUAGCUGGUCUGAGAGGAUGACCAGCCACAUUGGGACUGAGACACGGCCCAAACUCCUACGGGAGGCAGCAGUGGGGAAUCUUGCGCAAUGGGCGAAAGCCUGACGCAGCCAUGCCGCGUGGAUGAUGAAGGUCUUAGGAUUGUAAAAUCCUUUCACCGGUGAAGAUAAUGACUGUAGCCGGAGAAGAAGCCCCGGCUAACUUCGUGCCAGCCGCCGCCGUAACAC